UACGAAGGGGGCUAGCGUUGUUCGGAAUUACUGGGCGUAAAGCGCACGUAGGCGGACAUUUAAGUCAGGGGUGAAAUCCCGGGGCUCAACCCCGGAACGGCCUUUGAUACUGGGUGUCUUGAGUUCGGAAGAGGUGAGUGGAAUUGCGAGUGUAGAGGUGAAAUUCGUAGAUAUUCGCAGGAACACCAGUGGCGAAGGCGGCUCACUGGCC
rnacentral:rRNA from 1 species